rnacentral:rRNA from 1 species
CUCCUACGGGAGGCAGCAGUAGGGAAUCUUCCGCAAUGGGCGAAAGCCGGACGGAGCAACGCCGCGUGAGUGAUGAAGGUCUUCGGAUCGUAAAACUCUGUUAUUAGGGAAGAACAAAUGUGUAAGUAACUAUGCACGUCUUGACGGUACCUAAUCAGAAAGCCACGGCUAACUACGUGCCAGCAGCCGCGGUAAUACGUAGGUGGCAAGCGUUAUCCGGAAUUAUUGGGCGUAAAGCGCGCGUAGGCGGUUUUUUAAGUCUGAUGUGAAAGCCCACGGCUCAACCGUGGAGGGUCAUUGGAAACUGGAAAACUUGAGUGCAGAAGAGGAAAGUGGAAUUCCAUGUGUAGCGGUGAAAUGCGCAGAGAUAUGGAGGAACACCAGUGGCGAAGGCGACUUUCUGGUCUGUAACUGACGCUGAUGUGCGAAAGCGUGGGGAUCAAACAGGAUUAGAUACCCUGGUAGUCCACGCCGUAAACGAUGAGUGCUAAGUGUUAGGGGGUUUCCGCCCCUUAGUGCUGCAGCUAACGC